rnacentral:rRNA from 1 species
UAAGUGCACGCCUCAAUACGGUGAAACCGCGAAUGGCUCAUUAAAUCAGCUAUGGUUUAUUGGAUCGUACCCGUUAAAUGGAUAACUGUAAUAACUCUAGAGCUAAUACAUGCCACGAUGCCCUGACUUUGCAUUGCACAGGGAUGGGUGCACUUAUUAGAUCAGAAACCAACCGAGGCUUGGCCUACCUUCGGGUGGGUCAGGACUUGUUGUCGUUCUGGUGACUCUGGAUAAUUGUUACAGAUCGCAGUCGGCCUUGCGUCGGCGACGGGUCCUUCAAAUGUCUGCCCUAUCAACUUUCGAUGGUAGGUGAUCUGCCUACCAUGGUGAUAACGGGUAACGGGGAAUCAGGGUUCGAUUCCGGAGAGGGAGCCUGAGAAACGGCUACCACUUCCAAGGGAGGCAGCAGGCGCGCAAAUUACCCACUCCCGGUACGAGGUGGU